UACGGAGGAUGCGAGCGUUAUCCGGAUUUAUUGGGUUUAAAGGGUGCGUAGGCGGGAUGCCAAGUCAGCGGUAAAAAUGCGGUGCUCAACGCCGUCGAGCCGUUGAAACUGGCGUUCUUGAGUGGGCGAGAAGUAUGCGGAAUGCGUGGUGUAGCGGUGAAAUGCAUAGAUAUCGCGCAGAACUCCGAUUGCGAAGGCAGCAUACCGGCGCCCUACUGACGCUGAGGCACGAAAGCGUGGGUAUCGAACGGG
rnacentral:rRNA from 1 species